rnacentral:rRNA from 1 species
GUCCACGCUGUAAAACGAUGGGCACUAGGUGUCCGGGGUAUUGACCCCCUGGGUGCCGCAGCUAACGCAUUAAGUGCCCCGCCUGGGGGAGUACGGUCGCAAGAUUAAAACUCAAAGGAAUUGACGGGGGCCCGCACAAGCGGUGGAGCAUGUGGUUUAAUUCGACGCAACGCGAAGAACCUUACCUGGGCUAGACAACGGUGGACAGUCCUAGAAAUAGGAUCUUCCCUUCGGGGACUGCCGGUUCAGGUGCUGCAUGGCUGUCGU